AGUGAACGCUGGCGGUAGGCCUAACACAUGCAAGUCGAACGGCAGCACAGUAAGAGCUUGCUCUUACGGGUGGCGAGUGGCGGACGGGUGAGGAAUACAUCGGAAUCUACUUUUUCGUGGGGGAUAACGUAGGGAAACUUACGCUAAUACCGCAUACGACCUACGGGUGAAAGCAGGGGAUCUUCGGACCUUGCGCGAUUGAAUGAGCCGAUGUCGGAUUAGCUAGUUGGCGGGGUAAAGGCCCACCAAGGCGACGAUCCGUAGCUGGUCUGAGAGGAUGAUCAGCCACACUAGAACUGAGACACGGUCCAGACUCCUACGGGAGGCAGCAGUGGGGAAUAUUGGACAAUGGGAGCAAGCCUGAUCCAGCCAUACCGCGUGGGUGAAGAAGGCCUUCGGGUUGUAAAGCCCUUUUGUUGGGAAAGAAAAGCAGCAGGUUAAUACCCCGCUGUUAUGACGGUACCCAAAGAAUAAGCACCGGCUAACUUCGUG
rnacentral:rRNA from 1 species